rnacentral:lncRNA from 1 species
GUGGGGUGUCCGUUUAUCUGUGCGGGAUGUCAAGUCACGUCCGAUCAGAAUGGGGACGUUAAAUCCGCUGCCUCGUGUACAGAGAGUGCCACGUACUUUGCACGUUAAGAACUCUUGCAACAACUCUUUUGAGGGGUCCGUAGGUGGCCUGUUGCAAGGCAAAAUUUCUGUCCCUGUCCAAGAUACCCUCAUUUUCCAGUGGCAGUCCAAAUUUCCCCGACCAUUAUUUCAGAUGGCCUCUAUCGUAUCAACCUACCUAUUGUAUUUAUUGUGAACUUGUUCUCGUCCUGAAUAUGCAUGAAAUAUUUGCCACUGGACGUUAAGCAACCA